UUUAUGGACCAAACAACUAAUCGUUUAAUCGAGAAAAUAAUCAACACUGGCCAGCUACACUAUUUUAUCACGCUACCAUUAAAAUCCCUGUUCUUUACAGUCUUGGCUCAGUUUCCUUGAAGAUGAAUCUAUAUCUAUAUCUAUAUUUAUAUAGAUAUAUAUAUAAAUAAUAGGGGUGUAACGAUUCAUCUACUACAUCGAUGUAUCGAUUUAUAUUCCUACGAUCCAACUACAUCGAUAGGCACUCGACAAGUUGUCCUUCACAGGGGAUGUAUAG